rnacentral:lncRNA from 1 species
ACAAGAGUAAGUUGAGACUGGAAGAAAAAGCACUUCCAACAGUCCCUACCGCAGUGUGGAAGCUGGGAAGUCCAUGCGUGGCGUUCGUCCGGAGCCGCUUUUCUAGGAGUGGGAGGGCAAUAGGCGGGGCACGGGCGUGUCGGGGGGCGUUCCGCAGGUGCGACCAGGUAAAUCUUGGUCUCUUCAGAUUGACAUCACCUGGCGCAUGCCUAGUCGGUCUGCACCUUCCCGGGUCGCCGGCUGCAUUUUCGCCCGCGCGGGAAAAGUUGGGGGGGGUGAUGAAGAACCCGGAAGUGCACCAUCUUGCCUCCGUUCAUCCAAACAGAAAAUGGGUAAAAGUGAAGAAGUCUUUAAGAAGUCUUGGAAAGCAAUCAUCAUCUCUCUGUUGAGUCUGCUCGGAUGUCUCACAAUGGUGUUCUGUCUAAAUCUGGGACUAAGGCACUGAUGAAGAGUGUAACUCUUGUUCCUCAGAAUCUGUCUGUGUUGGAAUAUGCAAGGAUUUAUUCAUCAUUACAUGAUCUAUUGUCACUUCAGACAGUUGAAAUGUGUGGUUCCCUUGGCUGUGAGUGCAAAGCUCUUUAUAAGUAAACGACCUUUCAGUACAGAGUUAGAAGGAUGCACAUGAAGCAAAGUUAGCCAUGUUGCACAUGGCCAGGUGUCACUCCCUUCCCAGCAUUCAAGAACAAAAUGAGAGUAAAGAUAUAAAAUCACUCUUUGAUACUGAAAUGGGAAAAGUUCCCUUAUCCACCUCACAGGGCACGCGAUGGGAGUGGGUUCCUUCUCCAGUGCCCCACUGCUCACACCUCUAGGAGAGCAUACACACAGGCAGGUUGCGGAGCGCUGACCCCAUGGCAGUGUCUAGGGGUGAAUGUUUACAGCUCCUGAGGCCCCCGUGAGCUUGUGUUACAGUGUGCUCUUUCAGUUUUGGCGUCCGAAGGUGGCUUGUGUCAAUCAGCUUAGUUAGAUCCUCUGCCUUAUUGCAAGGACAGAGGGCUUUCUGUAUCCCAGGUUCUUGCCUUAGCAUACCAGAAAAAUCAGAUCACACGUGGGCUUGGAGAAUGAGUGCAAAGUUUAUUAUUGAGUGAUGGUGGCUCUCAGCAAGGUGGAUGGGGAGGCCAGAAGGGGAAUGGAGUGGGAAAGUGGUUUUCUCCUGGAUUUGGGGUGCUCUGUGGCUGCACUCUCGUUAGACCACCUGGCCAGAUUCCCAUUCAUGUCAUUCCACUGCGGAUGGUCUACCGGCGUCUGCUGGUGCCUGUAGGCGUGCUAAUGUGGUUUUUAUAGGCACAGGAUGGGGAUGUGGCAGGCCAGGGUAUUCUUGGGAAAUGCAACAUUUGGGCAUGAAAACAAAAAUGCCUGUCCUCACCCGGGUUCAUGGGUACAGGCCUCGGGGGAGCCCUCACCAGAGACCCGCCCUUCUCUACCCAGCACUUCCCUGCCUCCCUCCUGUAUCAAUACCACAAGUUAACAACAGCCAAGAUUAGUUCAAGCUAAGAUGGGUUCAGGGUAGAAACGCAGGAAAAUUCCAACAAAUGUUGCUGUGAAAAGCUCUAAUAAAUACAGCCUUUA